AGAAACCAGGCCAAAAGAAACGUGUCUUUAGGUGCCGUGGUUAGACAAGAAAACGACGUAGUUUCUUUUCUUGGUUGUUGCUACUUUGCUUUCUCAACAAGCAGAGAUCUUGGCUAGAAAUUGAAAGCAGAAGGGAAAAUAAAUCCCUGAAGAGAAGUAGAAGAUUUUUUUUUUUUUAGGGAUUUUUAUUGAUUUACUGAUUAGUGAAGAAAAGCUGUUUUUUUUUUUUUUAUAUAUUUUUCGUUUUGGUUUUCUGCAAAAAAGAAGACUUCGAUGCUUCAAUUUUGAAGCUCCAUACAUAAAAGAGAGAGUUUUACAGAGAGAAAGGGAUGCAGACAGAGGCAAGAGUGGGAGUGGUUGUAGAAGGAGGGCCAAGAGCUCUCAGUUCGCAGCAGAAACAGCAGAAACCGUUCCAUAAGCAGCAAUCGCAGAUCGGAACAUUUUCACAGCUUAUGGCCGGUGGCGUGGCUGGUGCUCUUAGCAAAACUUGCACUGCGCCUCUUGCUCGCCUCACUAUUCUUUUUCAGGUGCAAGGCAUGCACUCUGAUCUUGCAACAUUGAGAAAGGCUAGCAUAUGGCAUGAGGCUUCUCGGAUAGUUAGGGAGGAAGGAUUUAGAGCUUUCUGGAAGGGGAAUCUUGUCACAAUUGCUCACCGUCUACCUUAUUCCUCUGUCAACUUUUAUGCAUAUGAACACUAUAAAAAGAUGCUAUAUACAAUACCUGGACUAGAAAGCCAUAGGGAAAGCGUGGGUGGAGGGCUCUUUGUUCAUUUUGUAGGUGGUGGUAUGGCUGGAAUAACAGCAGCAUCUGCUACAUAUCCAUUGGAUCUUGUGAGAACCCGUCUUGCAGCUCAGACAAAUGUUAUCUACUACAGAGGUAUUGCUCAUGCACUGCGGACAAUUAGCAGAGAUGAGGGUGUUUUGGGCCUCUACAAGGGGCUUGGAGCAACGCUUUUGGGUGUUGGACCCAAUAUAGCUAUCAGCUUUACAGUGUAUGAGACCUUAAGAUCAUUUUGGCAAACACACAGGCCCCAUGAUUCUACUGUUGCAGUGAGUUUGGCUUGUGGCAGUCUAUCAGGCAUUGCAUCAUCAACAGAGAAGCAAGGUGUGGUUCAGGCUCUGCAUUAAUUAUCUAACCAGUCUGACCCCUAGAGCAAGAGACCGACAGGAGUUGUUUUAUAUCUUGCAUUUGAGAAUUUUAGGAAGGAAGUUCAGGGGAAAAAAUUCAUCUAACUUUAUUUCCUAUUUAAGAAUCUUGGUUGCAUUAACCACAUUUCUCCUGCAUUCUUUUGUGGAACUUGUCUCCCCAAGCAUUGAAGUUGACUCUGUAAUAGGUGGCAGUACUCUCAGGUGAACUAGUACUAUUCUCUCAGUAAUCAAACGUGAGAGGUGUCCUCUUUGAGGUAUACUUCUCACUUUGGUUUCCUUUGCUAACUGCAUUAUCCUAGGAUAUUGGCGUCCUCCAAGCCUUGUGAGUCGUGAUGCAGUUGUCAAAGGUUCUGUUCAUAUGGUUUCUAUUGAAAAAUGGUUACCCUUUUCUUUUGGUAUAUUGGGAAGAAAUUCAUUCACUGGGUUUCCCCUUCAUUUACCAAUAAUGACAUGAGAACGUUUUGUAACUAAGGAGGUUAUCAACAUGCAUUCACAAUGAUCAAAUUUUGACACCUUCCUUUUCUUCAUAAACUUGUUCUUGUUCCUAAUUGAUUACAUUAUUGCUCAUAUUAAAACUAUCCCAACCCAAUUAUUGCUCAUAUUAAAAAUAUCCCAACCCUAACCAUGAGGAGAACUGUACUGGAAGCAGCUAUUAGUACAAAUUCUCUCGGUGAGCUAGCACUCGCAACAUUUCCCCUCGAUCUUGUGAGGCGACGGAAGCAAUUGGAAGGAGCAGGUGGCCGGGCCCGUGUAUACACAACAGGUCUUUUUGGUACAUUUAAGCACAUAAUCCAGACUGAGGGCUUUUGGGGUCUAUAUAGAGGCAUACUGCCUGAAUACUACAAAGUUGUGCCUGGUGUCGGCAUUUGUUUUAUGACCUACGAGACACUGAAAAUGCUGUUAGCAGAUGUUACUGCCAAAUUAUAGAUGCUGUGGCAUUGUUUAGAGGUUGUAUUGCAAAUGAGACAAUUGGCUGUCAAACUGUUAAACAAUAGCGUUGUGCAUGGUACUCCAUAGGUUUUCUCAUGGUGGUUAAUUUUGUAAUGCUACCAUGAGAGAGAUUUUUCCAUGUAGAUAGGUCAAAGCUCAAUCAUAUUUGAAAUGUAUUCUAAAUAGUUGUCCUCACAAUUCUCAGAGAUCAAUACCAUCAAUGCUCCUUUUUCAGUUCUCUGGUUUCUUCAUCAUUUAGAACUCAUUCAACUAUUGUAUUUGGUUGAAGGCAUUUGCAGCUUCAACUCCAGCUUGUGAGAAUACAUGAGAGUUGAGAGUGCAGGUCAGAAUCAUAACAGGAUCACCUUUCUUUUUUCACAGAUUUACAGUUGCAGGGUACUGUAUUCAGAAAUUUCAACUCUUAACAUCCUAGUGCGACGAGUAGAGUUUUCUUUUUUUUAUGUUGUUGAGAUUUGCUUAUGUAAUUUUUCAAGCACUUGUAAUCACAUUUGUUAACCGCCUGUAAAACUGCAACUCUGUUAACAGCCUCUGCCUUGAUAAUUUCGGCAAAUGAUGUACCCUAUUGACAGCAUCACGCUGAUUUGUGUAUUAACUUAUUGUUGUUUUGAAAGUGAAGUGAAUACAUUUGUUUA